rnacentral:rRNA from 1 species
AUUGAACGCUGGCGGCAGGCUUAACACAUGCAAGUCGAGCGGAGCGAGGGUGCUUGCACCUUAGCUUAGCGGCGGACGGGUGAGUAAUGCUUAGGAAUCUGCCUAUUAGUGGGGGACAACAUUCCGAAAGGGAUGCUAAUACCGCAUACGCCCUACGGGGGAAAGCAGGGGAUCUUCGGACCUUGCGCUAAUAGAUGAGCCUAAGUCGGAUUAGCUAGUUGGGGGGGUAAAGGCCUACCAAGGCGACGAUCUGUAGCGGGUCUGAGAGGAUGAUCCGCCACACUGGGACUGAGACACGGCCCAGACUCCUAUGGGAGGCAGCAGUGGGGAAUAUUGGACAAUGGGCGGAAGCCUGAUCCAGCCAUGCCGCGUGUGUGAAGAAGGCCUUUUGGUUGUAAAGCACUUUAAGCGAGGAGGAGGCUACUAGUAUUAAUACUACUGGAUAGUGGACGUUACUCGCAGAAUAAGCACCGGCUAACUCUGUGCCAGCAGCCGCGGUAA